UACGGGGGGGGCAAGCGUUGUUCGGAAUUACUGGGCGUAAAGGGCGCGUAGGCGGCCACCGCAAGUCGACUGUGAAAUCUCCGGGCUUAACCCGGAAAGGUCAGCCGAUACUGCGGGGCUAGAGUGCAGAAGGGGCAACUGGAAUUCUCGGUGUAGCGGUGAAAUGCGUAGAUAUCUGGAGGAACACCGGUGGCGAAGGCGGCAUUCUGGACCGAAACUGACGCUGAGGCGCGAAAGCCAGGGGAGCAAACGGG
rnacentral:rRNA from 1 species